GAAUAAAGUCAAAAUGGCGCUUUACAUAAUUAGUUGAAUGAGGAGCAUUCGAUUAUUGAAAGUCUUAGCAGAACUAGAGGUAUCAAUGCAGAAUUCAGCUAUUUAGCCAUAAAAAUAUAUUAGCUGAAUGGUUGCAUACAAAAAAUGGUUGAAUUAGUUCAAAUUUCAUUUGAUAAAGAAAAGAGAAUAUUUUUCACCAUUUACUUACCUUCAAGAGGCUCAUAGGUGUUAAAGCUUAUCAAUGACAUUACCCCUUAAAAAUAGGCAACAGUUGCCACUUUCUUUAAAAUGCACAUCGGUUUUCUUGUGGAAGGCAAACUUUGAGUAUAGAUUUUAGGAGCAGUUUCUCAAAAGGUAGGUGAGUCACACUGAGCAGAAUUCGCAUCAACCAACCAGACAAUGAAAAAAAUUCAUUUAAUUUCAGAGGACAACCGAAACUAACCUAUUUUAUCCUUCAUCUGCUUACUUUCCAUUACUACUUUUCUUUACUCUGCCUCUUUCAUCAAUCACUUCUCUUUUAUUAGCUUUUAUUUAUAGCAUUCAACAUUUACCUUUUACCUUUGAAAACUGAAACUACCAAAAUACCAUUCAAUGACCAAAAGUAGUGCAUCUGAGAUAAUAAUGCCUGUCUAAUGAGUGACUCUAAAGUGCACAUCCUUGCUGCGAGCAAUUGUUGUCAUAUCUCAAUAAUUAUUUUUGUCUUGUUGCUGGCAAUUUUAAGUACAGUUGCUGUGAAACAACUUACUGUUAACGCAACUAUUAUUAAAGUGUAAAGCAUUCACAAAUGAUGGUAUAAGGUCCAAAACCAUCAACAGGAGAAGAAAGACAUUCCAAUAUUUCCAAAAUUUCAUCUACGGAUAUCAUUGGAACAAGCAGCUAAAACUUCAAUACUCAGCAGACAUCAUAGAUAAGAAGGAAUAUGCGAAAAGUUAGCUCAACGAUAUAACAAAUGCAAAGAAUAGAAUUUUGCAUAUUCAACAUAGAGUUCUGAUGGGUGUCAUUAGACCUUUAUACCACAGUCUCAUUUUUUUUUUCUUCUUUAUAUGUAAAAUGUUAAAAUAAAAUAGACUAAAUUUAAAAAUUGAAGAGAUAAAGUUAAAAAAUCCAAAACUAAAUGUUCACAAAGUACUUGAAUCAUGCUAUUGAAAAAGAAAGUAGUCUUUUAUAAUGCCUUUGAAUCUUGUUAUUGAGAAAUAAAAUAUAACAAUCUAUAAAUUUGAAUAGGAAUGCUUUGAGUAUCUAAAAGCCAAGCAACUCAUUAAAUAUCUUGCUUCAAUUCUUUUCAACGAGAGUUUUACAGGGUUCAAAUUAACUUCGCACUGUCUAAUUUUUCUAACAAUAGAUUACAAUUUGUUGAUCUUCAUAGAUGAAAUUAGCUAUAAUUUAUCUAUAAUAAGUUGACCAAUGUAGACUUUUAAGCUUUGAAAUCCACUAGUAAUUUAAAUAACACGCACAUUUCAAACUAAAUCAAACAAUACAUAAAUGACCUGAAAAUUUGAACAACUAUGCAAUACAGAAUAAUCCAAAUUAACAUCCAUAUUUUGUAAUAAUUUUAUUUUUCACCACAUUAGAUAUUGUACUCACUUUAAAAGAAGUAUUGAAGUUUGAACCACACAUGAUCAAGGAAAUGAAAAUAGGCAUAACGCAAUGAUCUACAGAUGACCAAAGGACCAACUACUAUCCAAAAUCCCACCACAAAUCCAAAUGCCAUGCCCACAAAAAAUAAGUUCACUUCAUGUCUAUCACUCCCUUCGCCAUUGUGAUCAUAACUUUUGCCAUUGGAGCUGCAACUGAUAGAUAGUGGUUGGCCACAAAGAUUGUUGCCAAUAAAGUUAGAGGCAUCAAAGGAUUGGAGCUGAGUUCCUGUUGGAAUUUUUCCAUCCAAAUGAUUAUAAGACAAGUCUAGCAUACUUAGAAAGCUCAAAUUUGUAAUGGUUGGAGGGAUUUCACCAGAAAGUUCAUUCCUUGAGAAAUCAAUGGACAACAAUGAUCCCAUAUUACCAAUGUUUUGUGGAAUGUGACCAAUAAGUUGGUUGUGAGACAAGUUCAAAAAUAACAAACCAUUUAAAUCUGUGAUCUCUCUUGGUAUUUCUCCAACUAAUUUGUUAUUUGACAAAUCAAUGCUUUUUACCAACCCGAGAAAGUUUUUGUAUUCAUCUCCUCUUCCUUUCAACCAAAGAAGAACGCUUACUAUAGUUUCCAUUGCAGUUAUAAGUUUACCAUCAUUGAUAGGUAAACAAUAGAUGAAAGGAACUAUGUUUCUGUGCUUUUUUGUCAUGGCCUUCAAGCUGUUAAUACAAGUAGGUACAUAUCCAGUGAAAUUAUUUUGUGCAAGGUCUAACACUUGAAGAAGACUCAUAUCACAUAUUUUAUUAGGAAUAUGACCGGAAAAUGUAUUUGAUCGAAGGAUAAGAACCUUCAUAUCUAAAAAACUUUCUCCAACCCAAUUUGGAAUUGUUCCUGAAAAAUUAUUUUCUCCAAUAUCUAAUAAUUUCAAUUGUUUGGUCUUCUUCAAAAUUGUUGGAAAUGUUCCCGAGAGAAAGUUUUUACGGAUGCGUAAUGAUUCGAGCUCCGUCAAUGAACCCAUGGAUUGAGGAAUGUUCCCAACAAAAUUAUUGUUUUGUAAAUUCAGGUCCACUAGAUAUGGCCAAAUUCCCCAACAAUCAGGUAUUUCUCCAUACAAGUUAUUCGAUGCAAGAUAGAGAAAUUCUAAAUUCAUUGGCUUCUUAUGAUUUUUGCAUAGAAAAUCAUCCACUGGUUUGGAAAAUGAAUUGCUUGAAAGGUCCAAAAAACCCACAGAAUUUGAAAGUAAGGGUAAUUUGCCACCUAAGUUAUUUGCGCUUAGAUCAACAUUGGUGAUAGAUAUUGGAUUCUUUGAUGUAGUCCCAAGCUCACCAUGGAUAUGAUUAUGAGAGAGAUUUAAAAAAUAAGUCUGAGAAAAUGUUUCCCAAAACCAAUUCGGAAUAGAAUCUAAAAUCCCCGUCUUAGACAUCGCUAAAUAUUCAAGUUUGUGUUGUGACUGAAUCCAUGAAGGAAAGUUAGGACCUAACUGCCAGGAGCUCAUAUCCAAAGAAGUAAGCUUAAAAGUAGGAUGCCAAUUGGGAUCCACUUUUAAAGUCAAAUUGUUUCCUGAUGCAUGAAGGAUACUCAAACUCACAAGAUUAAUGAGAUGAUUUUCCAUCACAACUCCUUCAAAUCGAUUAUAACCAAUAUUAAGAUAUGACAAUUUAGAGAGUGAUCUAAAACUUUCAAAUGGAUUUCCACUAAGCUGAUUCUCGAACAGAGAAAGAUAUCUCAAUGAUGAAAGUUUUUGAAAUGAUACUGGAAGAUUGCCUGAGAGUUGAGAACUUUCAACUCGAAGUAUUGUCAGUCCAUGGAAAAUACAAGGAGAAAGAAUAUCUAAAAUUUCAUUAAUAUGUUGUUUGAGUUUGAGAUAUGAGAAACGUAUCACCCUUAAGUUGCAUAGAUAACCAAAAGAAAUUGGAAUUGGUCCUUCAAGUUUAUUGGAUGAUAAAUCAAGUUCAACUAGAGAAGUCACCUUUCCUAAAGAAGUUGGAAGUGGACCUUCAAGUUUAUUGUAAGACAAAUCAAGUGUAACUAGAGAAGUGAUAUUUCCUAAGGCAUCAGAAAUAGUUCCUUGUAAGUUAUUUCUUGAUAGGUCCAAGAUCUUUAGAUUAGGAAAACUAGUAUAAAACCAAGUAGGUAUUGAAGAUGAGAAUGAAUUUCCACACAAGUUAAGAUUUUCAAGUAGUGUGAGGUUUCGAAGACCAUCUGGAAUUGUACCUUCAAAGUUGUUAUCAUGUAAAGAAAGAGAAACCAGUUUUUCCAUUCCAAAUACCCACUUUGGAACCGAAGAAUUUGUUGAAAAAUAAGGAAUAUAGGAAAGAUCUAGAGUGACGAGAGAUGAGAAGUUAAGAAAUGACGGUUGAUUAUACAGAGGGAGUAUACAUCCUGACAAUUGUAGGUUCAUCAAAGAAGGAAGAGCUUGCAGAAUAUGGAAAAAAUCAAAUGAUUGGGAUAUGUCUGCAGAUGUCAAAUCAAGAUAUUCAAGUUUUGAAAGACUAGACAACCAAUAAUCAUUUUCAACAAAAUAAUGACCUUGAAGAUAAAGGUAAAGCAAGUUGGAGAGAUUUCCAAUUUGAGAGGGGAUAGUUCCAUUGGCAGCAUAACUUAAGUCUAGAUACACCAAAUUGGAAAGAUUACCAAUCUGGAAAGGAAUGUUGCCCAUAAAUCCAGAAUCAGAGAGAUCCAAGUGAAUUAAGUUGGUCAUUGAGCCAAGAAAAGAAGGAAUUGGCAUACCUUUAACAAGUGACCAAGUGUUGCUCAAGUCAAGAUAACAAAGCUUGGAAAGACUUGACAGCCAGUCAACAUUUUCAGAAUCAUAUCCUGUGAGUUGGAGGUGGAGCAAGUUGGAGAGAUUCCCUAUCUGAGGAGGAAUUCUUCCGUUGAAAGCAUAAGAGAGGUCAAGGUACAACAAAUUGGAGAGAUUCCCUAUCUGGGAAGGAAUUGUUCCGUUGGCAGCAUGACUUAAAUCAAGAUAGAGCAAAUUGGAGAGAUUUCCAAUCUGAGGAGGAAUGUUUCCCAUGAAUUUAGCAUUAGAAAGGUUGAGGUGAGUUAAGGAAGUCAUUGUUGCAAUGAAAGAAGGAAAUGGCUUCCUAUAAAAAAUAUUGCCGCUGAAAUCCAAAUAAUUCAAAUGCUUUAAAUCAACCAAACAAGGAUUUAUCUCUCCAUUGAAUGCCCUUCUACUAUACUCAUUGAAUGCUUCUCUGCGAACUUCUUCGUAAGUUUCAUCUAUUAGGCUCUCAUCGAAAGGGAAAGAAGGAAGUGGAGUGCUGAGGUGAAGCUCUGCAACGUGGGAUGUGACGUUGUUGCAGAGAACUCCGUACCAAUGGCAACAAUUGGGAUUGAGAGAAGCAUUCCAAGAAGAAAGUCUAUUUGAAGGAUCAAUGAGAUGAUGUUUUAACUUCAAAAGUGUCUCUCUCUCACUUUCAAUGCACACUAUCCCUCUGCACACACCAAAGCUUGACAUAGAAAGCGAAUAAAGAAACAGAAGGAUAAAGAAGGAGGAAGUCAUUUUUAGACCAAAGCUAAUGUGAAGAAGAAAGUGUUUUUUGAUUAGAAAGAAGCACUUAUGUGUUAUGCAUACUAAAUACCCUUUAUAUACACAAAAUCAUCUGUCUAUCAAUUUUAAUUUCCAUGCUAAAUUUAUAAAAUCAAAAUCAGUUUCAUAUUUUAUCUUCUUUUUCAGACCUUACAAAACAUCAACGUUCCUCCUCUUCAUCGAUGCCACCCAAAAAGAUUAAAUAUUUUUCAUUUUUUGAGACUGUACGAAACUUUAAAUAUUUUCCGUCUCAUUUCUUUACACCAAUAUUUGAGUAUUACACUUUUAUUUUUGUCACUGCAAUGCUUUUUUUUUUCUUUUUAUGGAUUUACCUUUUUUUUCUUUUACAAGUGGGAGUAUUUAUCUCCUUAUUUAUAAUAAAAUUUAUGCUGUUUAUUUCAGUUUUUUAAUUCAUAAAAGUUGAACACCAACAUUCAAAAAUCGAUGACGACUUUAAACACAUUUCGAUUAACUUAACUGAGAUAAAUUCCCUGCUUAUCCAUUUUAUUUAAUUUUAAAGUUAGAAUUUGGUAAUUUUUCUCAUAAAAAUUUAUAGAGAGAGACCUAAAAUGAAGUGCAUAUUGAGACGUUAUAAAAAAAGAUUAGAUAAUUUUUAUUCUUUGAUUACGAAAAUUCAGUUAAAUAAGUAACAGAUGAAGGACUGAUUUUGUUUAUCGUAUUUAAACAGACAGAAAAAGUUAUAUUUAAUUAUAGUAAUCUUUUAUUGACUCUUUGCUACACUUUAAAUUUGUUUUUAAGUUUACAUGGGAUCUUAUUCCUCGUUCAUAUUAUAAAUUAGAAAAUUAAGCACACAACAAACAUAACAAAGAAAAAAAUGGAAGUACCACCCAUUUUUUGAGUUAUGGUGAGAAGGAAAUGCAGAAAAUCAAAUCAAAAGACUUUUAAAGUCCUAUCCAUUUUAUGGAUUACAAAAUUAUGACGCCACUCAUAAAUCAUAAAAUCUAAACUAUUUUCAAGAUUCGGUUAUUCAUUUUUCUCAUAUAAUCUAUUAUAUGAAAUGUAUGAAAGAAAUAAACGAGAGAAUCAUAUAUUUAAACAAGUUAACUUUAUUCAAUCAAAAUAAUUUUACAAUUAACUAACUUCUUAAAUCACUUCUGAUGAUAUUAUUUUAUCUAACUUGAUUUCUUCUAAUUAAUUCAGAACGAGAAUUAUUUAAAAAAAUUAAUAUUAAAAUCUAUUUUAAAUACUCCUUAUAAACAGUCAAGUUCACACUAAAUGUAUUGACUAUAAAUAUCCAAUUAAUUGUUUGACUCAGUCUUAGCCAUUCACUUCACACUCACUCACUCAAAUAUCAUUGUUAGGCCAACCCAUCACAUUUCAAGUUUUAUCAUCUUGAGGGUUUGACGUCACUAUUUUUUAAAAUAUUUGUAUAAAAUUUAUAUAAAAAUUAGUUUUGGUUUUAAUUUUGUAAAAAAAAACAAAAUUGAUUGAUUUUUUAAAAAGAAAAUGACACUAAAUUUAAACAAAAUAAAAUAUAAAAAUUAAAUUGAAACUAAAAUAAUCACACAUAAUAUAAUAAUAACACUAUAAAUUGUCAUAGUCAUCUCAUAUUGUCAUUAUCAUGAAUUGAGAUAAAAGACUUUAUGGCAUCAAUUUUUCUAAAGUAAUAACUAAAUUGAGACAUGUAAAAAGAAACCAACGAGAUCUCUUUACAAAAAUAGAGAUGAAGGAUAUAAUUUAACCUAAUUCAUUUUAGGUUAUACAACUGAAUCAAAUUUUGUAAAUAUGAUAUAAUCACGAUGUUGAAAUUCUGUACGUGCAUAUGCAUAUAAUUAUAAAUAAUCAUCUUAUGAAAUAUGUAAAUAUAAAGAUAUAAAGAAUAAUGAUAUUCAGCCUUACCCCCAAAGGCAACAACUUACUCAGGCCAAGACGACAACGUUCUAAUAAUUGAAUGGUCCAAAACGUUGCGUUUCACUUAAGCCCAAUUCCAUGUGCAGCAGAGUCCCUUUCCUCUCUAUUCAAAACACACAACAUUGUUAGUCUUUAGCCCAUUCUUAGAUUUUGGCCCCUUUUGACUAUGGGCUGAUCUGCAAAAAGAAAAGAAAUAGGGUAAAUCGGCAAAAAGAGAAAAUGGACAUCUAUAACAGCAAAGAAAAUUAAUAUGACAUUUAAAGUAAAGAAAAAAAAAUACUAUUUAUUAUCUAAAAACACAAAAUUAACAUUAUUUCUUUUUAAAACCUGUUUUUAUCCUAAUUAUACUAAUCUACUUUAAUUCUAGAAAAUUAACAGUUAAACUAUCCUAAAAGAAGAGUAUUAACAUAGAAAAAUGGGAAAAUUUAGAGACUUAACAGGUUACCUUUGUUUCUUUCAUGAAUUUAACCUUAGAAAAACAUAUGACCUCGGUUAUUCUAAUAAGCAAAGCAAUAACCACUAUAUGGCAUUGGUUAUGCAUAAAAUCAAAGCCUAAAGACUAAUAAAAAUUUAAAAAAAUAUACAAAUUUUCGUGGUAAUUUUGAAAUUUUAAUCAACCUUUUGCCCUUUGUUUCUUAUAGAACUUAAGCAGAAACCAUAUAUGGAUACAGUUACGUACAAACCGAGGCCAUAUGUCCGAUUUAGAAAAAAAAAAACAAAAAAAAAAGAGUUGUAUCCGACUUUGGCCGAGCUAUAACCAACCUUGGUCAACUUGUAUCUAACCUUAGCCGAGUUGUAUCUGAUGUUGACUAAGCUGUAUCUGAUCUUGACCGAGCUACAUCAGACCAUCCUUACCUAGACAUAUCAAAGUGGGAAUUUUGAAAGUUUUAUUACCUUUUGGCCUCGAUUGUUCAUAGAAUUAAGACAGAAAGUACAUAUGACUUCUAUUACGAGAGAAAGUUUUUAUGGAUGCGUAAUGAUUCAAGCUCCUUCAAUGAACCAAUGGAUUGGGGAAUGUUCCCAACGAAAUUAUUGUUUUGUAAAUUCAGGUCCACUAGAUAUGGCCAAAUUCCCCAACAAUCAGGUAUUUCUCCAGACAAGUUAUUCGAUGCAAGAUUGAGAGUUUUUAAAUUCAUUGGCUUCAUAUGAUUUUUGCAUAAAAAAUCAUCCACUGGAUUGUAAAAUAAAUUGCUUGAAAGGUCCAAAAAAUCCACACGAUUUGAAAGUAAGGGUAAUUUGCCAGCUAAGUUAUUUGCACUUAGAUCAACAGUGGGGAUAGAUAUUGGAUUCUUUAAUGUAGUCCCAAGCUCACCACGGAUAUGAUUAUAAGAGAGAUUUAGAAAAGAAGCCUGCGAAAAUGUUUCCCAAAACCAAUACGGAAUAGAAUCUAAAAUCCCCGUCUUAGACAUCGCUAAAUAUUCAAGUUUGUCUUGUGACUGAAUCCAUGAAGGAAGCUUAGGACCUAAUUGCCAAUAACUCAUAUCCAAAUAAGUAAGUUGAAAAGUAGGAUGCCAAUUGGGACCCACUUUUAAAGUCAAAUUGUUUCCUGCUGCAUGAAGGAAACUCAAACUCACAAGAUUAAUGAGAUGAUUUUCCAUGACAACUCCUUCAAAACGAUUAUAACCAAUAUCAAGAUAUGACAAUUUAGAGAGUGAUCUAAGACUUUCAAAUGGAUUUCCACUAAGAUGAUUCUUGGACAGAGAAAGAUAUCUCAGUGAUGAUAGUUUUCCAAAUGAUACUGGAAGAUUGCCUGAAAGUUGAGAACUUUCAACUCGAAGUGUAUUCAGUCCAUGGAAAAUACAAGGAGAAAGAAUAUCUAAAAUUUCAUCGAUAUGCUGGUUGAGUUUGAGAGAUGAGAAACGUAUCACCUUUAAGUUGCAUAGAUAACCAAAAGAAGUUGGAAUUGGACCUUCGAGUUUAUUGUAAGACAAAUCAAGUACAACCAGAGAAGUCAUAUUUCCUAAGGCAUCAGAAAUAGUCCCUUGUAAGUUGUUUUCUGAUAGGUCUAAGAUCUUUAGACUAGGAAAACUAGUAUAAAACCAAGUAGGUAUUGAAGAUGAGAAUGAAUUUCCUCUCAAGUAAAGAUUUUCAAGUAGUGUGAGGUUUCGAAGACCAUCGGGAAUUGGACCUUCAAAGUAGUUAUCAUAUAAGAAAAGAGAAACAAGUUUUUUUAGUCCAAAUAUCCUCUUUGGAACAAAAGAAAUUGUAGAAAGAUGAGAAGUAAAGGAAAGAUCAAGAGUGACGAGAGACGAGAUAUUAAGAAAAGAUGGCUGAUUAUAGGGAGGAAGUGUACAUCCUGACAAUUGUAGGUGCAUCAAAGAAGGAAGAGCUUGCAGAAUGUAAGGAAAAUCAAAUGAUUGGGAUAGGUUUGCAUAUCCUAAAUCAAGAUAUUCAAGUUUUGAAAGACUUGACAACCAGUAAACAUUUCCAACAAAAUAACGACCUCGUAGAUCAAGGUAAAGCAAGUUGGAAAGAUUUCCAAUUUGAGAAGGGAUAGUUCCAUUGACAAUAUAACUCAGGUCUAGAUAAGCCAAAUUAGAAAGAUUACCAAUCUGGGGAGGAAUGUUGCCCAUAAAUCCAGAAAAGGAGAGGUCCAAGUGAAUUAAGGUGGUCAUAGAGCCAAGAAAAGAAGGAAUUGGCAUACCUCCUCCAAGUGACCAAGUGUUGCUAAAGUCAAGAUAACAAAGCUUGGAAAGACUUGACAACCAAUCAACAUUUUCAUAAAAUAGAGAUUCUUCAUAAAAAUAUUCUCCUUGGAGCUCGAGGUGAAGCAAGUUGGAAAGAUUCCCUAUCUGAGGAGGAAUUGUUCCGUUGGCAGCAUAACUUAAAUCAAGAUACAGUAAAUUGGAGAGAUUUCCAAUUUGAGGAGGAAUGUUCCCCCAGAAUCCAGCAUGAGAAAGGUUGAGGUGAGUUAAGGAAGUCAUUGUUGUAAUGAAGGAAGGAAUUGGCUUACUUUGAAAAAGAUUGCCGCUGAAAUCCAAGUAAUUCAAAUGCUUCAAAUCAACCAAACAAGGAUUUAUCUCUCCCCUGAAUGCCCUUCUACUGUACUCUUUGUAUGCUUCUUCGUAAACUUCUUCAACUAAAUUUUCUUCAUGAACAUCGAAAGGGAAAGAAGGAAGUGGAGUGGUGAGGUGAAGCUCUGCAACAUGAGAUGUGACGUUGUUGCAGAGAACUCCAUACCAAUGGCAACAAUUGGGAUUGAGAGAAGCAUUCCAAGAAGAAAGUCUAUUUGAAGGAUCAAUGAGAUGAUGUUUCAACUACAACAGUGUCUCUCUCUCACUUCCAAUGCACACUGUCUCUCUACACACACCAAAACUUGACAUAGAAAGCAAAUAAAGAAACAGAAGGAUGAGAAAGGAGGAAGUCAUUUUUAAACAAAAGCAAAGAAGAAAGUGUUUUUUUCAUUAGAAAGAAGCACUUAUGGGUUAUGCAUACUAAAUACCCUUUAUAUACACAAAGGCAAUUUCCAUGCUAAAUUUAUAAAAUCAAAUUCUAUGCGGUAGGAAAGAAGAAUAAAUAUACAACUCAUCAAAAUAUCUAAAUUAUAAACAUUAUUUUUUUCUUUUAUACAUUAUACAAGUCUUAUUGCUCGACAAAGUUAUUACUUUGUCUACUUUAAGUGGAAUGUUACAGUGUUUUUUUUCACAUGAAAUUAAUUAUUAGGGAGACCUAAAAAAAGUGUAAAAUACUUGUAUAUAAAUUUUACAUCUAUGGGUUAGUGUGACUUUUCUUUUUGAAAAGUUUGGACAUAUAUAUGGCACAAAUCACAAAAAAAAUAAAAUAUAAUAACGAUCGAAAAAGUGUUGAGUAUUUUAAAAAAUAUAUUAUCUGUUAAAUAACAUAAUAUUAUUUUGACAUCCAACAAAAUUUUACACAAACCUCACAUCUAUUAUUUUACCCUUCAAUCUCUUUUUCUUUACAAAUAUAAAAAUUAAUUCAUAAAAAAUUUUAAUUCAUAAAAUUUGAACACAAAUUUUCAAAAAUCGACAACGUCUUCAAACAUGUUUCAAUUAACUUAUCUGAGAUAAAUUCCCUGCUUAUCCAUUUUAAUUAAUUAAAGUUAAAAUUUUCAAAUUUUUCACAUAAAAAUAAAUAUAGAGAGACCUAGAAUGAAGUGGAAAUUGAGACGUUAUUAAAUAUGCACGUUCCUCGUGUAAUCUAUUAUAUGAAAAUGUAUGAAAGAAAUAAACGAAAAUGAUAUAUUUAAACAAGUUAAUUUUAUUCAAUGAAAAUAAUUUUACAAUUAAAUAACUUCUUAAAUCACUUUUGAUGAUAUUAUUUUAUUUAACUUGAUUUCUUCUAAUUGAUUGACAACGAAGAAUUAGUUUUAAAAUUAAUAUUAAAAUAUAUUUUAAAGACUCUUCAUAAACAGUCAAGUUCAUAGUAAAUGUAUUAGCCAUUUCUAAAGGUAUCUCUUGACUAUAAAUAUCCAAUUUAUUGUUUGACUCAGUCUUAGCCAUUUACUUAACACUCAUUCACUCCAAUAUCAUUGCUAGGCCAAGUCAUCGCAUUUCAAGAUUUUUUCUUAUGUGGUGGGAUAUUCUAAGCUGUAGCAGAGAAGAAUAAAUAUACAAGUCAUACAAAACCCUAACUUGAAAAAUCUUUCUUUUUCUUUUAUGCAACUUUUGUUUUCAUUAUCAAUUAGUUUGGGUUUUUCUUUUUAAACUUGUGUUAAGAAAAAUAACACAAUUAUUAUUAUAUUUAAAUAUAUAAUUUGUUUAAAUAAUUAUAUUUAACUGCUAUAAAUAUGUAUAAUUAUAAGUAUAAUAUUUAAAUGAAGAGUUUGAUGAUAAAAAAAAUUAAAUAAUUAAUCAUAAGUAUUUUUCUUUUUCCUUUUAUAAAAAAUUAAUUAAAAAUAAAUAGUAUGAUUUUAAUAUAGAUUUCUAUAUAUAAAGUAAUAGAUUAUAUAAAGUACAACAACUACUAUUAAUAAUACUAAUAAUGGAUUAUGCUAAUAAUACUAAUAAUAAUAAUAAUAAUAAUUAUUAUUAUUAUUAUUAUUAUUCUUAUAUUUAGAGAUGGAUCAAGAAAUUCAAGUAAGAGAUGAUUGAAAGAAAAUAAAUUUUAAUAAAAAUUAAAUUGGAACAAAUAAAUACAUAAUAUCUUAUAUUUAAGUUGUGCGCGUCGUUCCUUCUUGUCAUAAAAUCCAUUGUUUCAGGAUGGGUUGGACAAGUCUUGAAGUCUGGCCAUACUCUAAACGAUUUUUAUGUUAAUUGGCCAGUCUAUAAGUAGUGGGUUUGAGGAAAAGUAUUAGUUGUCAUAUUACAUAUGUUGUGUAUGUAUAUCAAAGUCAUACACUAGACUUUUAUUUAUAGUAGUAACUAUGGACUUCGAUCUUUUUGUUGGUCUAAUCAUUGUCUAGUCAUACAUUAGUCAACAGUAGUAGGUUAAUUCAUGAUUAUCAUUCAUGUUUAAUUUGACCUUCAUUCUAUAAUUGGUUGGUAAUCUCAUUCAGUCAAGGUGGUCGUCUAAGGGUGACUGGCCCAGAAUGGUCGGUUAAGGGUGAUAGGUCCAUAAUGGUCGGCCAAAUAUAGUCAGCUCAAAUGGAUUGAUCAGUGGUGAUUGGUACACAUACAAAACAUUCAUCAAUGAUAAAAUUUAAGGUUAAAUAUGUCUUUCGUCCUUUAAGUAUCACACUAUUUUGGGUUUAGUCCCUACUCGAAACUUGGAUGGCUUUUAGUCCUCAUAGUUUUGAAACUAUUAUUAUUAAUCCUUAAAAUUGGAUGGCGUUAAAUUUCUUUUUGACGUGGCAAACGGCAAUCCAGAUCUCAUGCCACGUCCGUUGCCAUGCUUCUUUUUGUCUUCUUUGGUCCAAUUUCUCUUCAAACUAGAGAAAGUCGACAUUCAAAUAUAAAACCUCUUCGCCUUACACUUCCUUGCCUCCUGCGUGAAGAUCUUCACGCUUAGGGUUUUGUCCCUCUCUUAUUCAUCUCCAUCAUUCUCCGAAUUCUCUUCAUCGGCGGGCCACCCCCUCUCCCUCCAUCGUUAUAAUGAACUUUGAUUGUGAACAUGACUUGUAUUGGCAGUUCAGGAAUGACUGGGUAAUAUUCACAUUGGGGGAUUUAAUGGUUCAUUAGCUAGAAAAAUCUUGAGGUGAAAUUGCUCCGAUUUUGGUGGUCGGGUUUAAUACUUUUUGAAAAUUAAUAAUUUAUCCAGUUCAUUUUAGAUUGGAUAACUUUGUAGUGCAGUACAUUCAUAUUAAUCCUUUGUUUCUCCCACCGAGCUAAGUUCCUUUUCAUGUGUUCUGGGGGAGCCUGGAUGAACGAAAGCCUUUCACUGAAAGAAGAGUGGCUUUCGGUGAAACCAUCACCAUGGCAUUUAGGAAUUGGUGUCUGAGGCUUUACUGCUCUUGGAAAUAUAUGAAACAGCAGGUUAAUGUUGUACGAAUUUUUUUUAUAAUCAUAUUUUUUUGAACUUGAUAAUCAUGAUGCCAUAUAAUGUAGAGUAUUCAAUUAAAUUAACAUUUGUCAUCCAAAUAAGUACUCACCAAGCAUUUCGGUUGUUUCCUUAAAUUUGUUAUGUAUCUACUUCGUCUGAUUGCACUCAAGAUCUAUAUUUGCUUCUUCUGGAGUUUACAGAAAUUGUGAGGAUUCUUCCGGACUCAGCUGAAGAAUGGAACCGUGGGAUGUUCAUCAUCGAGUCAGGUUCAUUAGUCAGCACGAGGAGGAUGGAACUCCUUCUGAAACUUAUAACGGAGAGGAAUCAAAUGAUGAAGAAAAAAAAAUCGUCAAAGUUGAACCCGCCUUUGUGCCAGAAAUUAAGAAAAGGAAACGCCUUAGUGGCGGAGUAGGCGUCUCAGUGGCGGAGGCGACAAGAGCACGGCAAAAGUGUGCCAGAGGCGCGGCGAGAGACGACGACUGAGAAAGUUAGGAUUUUUAGUUUGAGGAAUUUCUUUUUGGGGAUCCGGUGAAGGUUGUUGAUAAUUGAGCCGGUGGAUUAGCCAUGGGGGUUUCGGUGGCUAGCAGCGGAGACGCGUUGGAGAAGAAGACUUCACGUGGUUUCUUGAGACGUGGCAGGACCGUUAGUCACAUCACCAAAAAAAUUGACGCCGUCUAUUUUUAGGGAUUAAACAUACAUGUUUCAAUACUGAGAGGAUGAAAUGCCAUCAAUGUUUCAUACAGGGACUAAAACCAAAAUUCAUUGAUACUACUAAAAACAUAUUUAACCCUAAAAUUUAUAUCAAACUUCUCAGCAAUCCUUCUCUCAAUGUAGGCCUAGGUAUCAAACAAUCAGCUAGAAAUUCAUCUUCUAUGUUGUAUCUAAGUCUAUCUUUCAUAAUCUUCUUAAUUGAAAAAUAUUUCUCAGUUGUAGCAGUUAAAAAUAAGUAAAGUUAAUACCAAUGGAAAGAAAUGACCAAUUAAGAGAUAAGUCAAAUAUUUUCUUGUUUUGACCAAUCCUAAACAUAGUUCAUAAAUUGUUGAUAUAUUUCUCGUUUUAGAAUAAAAUGGAACAUUAAGUUCAUAAUUUUGAGUUUCUACUCUAAGAAGGAACUUUUCAAGCUAUGUAAAAUCAUCAUGAUAAAACUUUAUUGUCAAUUUACAAUUUUUCUUCAUAUUGUAUGAUUUCUAAAAUUCUUUUGUAUCAGCUGAAUAGAAAGAUGAAAUAUUGUAACUUGCAAAUCACUUAGAAAUGUGAAAGACACAAUGACUUCUUGAAAAAAAUAAUUGUAUUUGAUUCUCAAACAUUUUUUUACUUUUGUUUUAAUAUAUAUAUAUAUAUAUAUAUAUAUAUAUAUAUAUAUAUAUAUAUAUAUAUAUAUAUAUAUGAGGUUUGUUAACGCGCAUAUGCCUGUUUUUCAGUUGAUACAUUUUAACAAUGUGUAUUGGGUUAUAGUAGACAAAUAAUUCUCAUUCUCAAAACUAAAAAAACAAGAAACCCCCAAACCCUUACUCACCUCUCUAAUUUCUCCCAAUCCUUUCUCUUUCAUCUCUCUCACUCCAACCUUUUCUCUGUCAUAUCUACUGUAGCCCCAAUAAAAAAAAUCAAAAACACGGGUUGUUAAGCAAUUUCUUACAAAAAAAUGAUUUUAUAAUGAGUUUUCAUUUUAUAAUUUUUAUCUUAUCUAAUUUUCACAAGCAUAAUGACAUAUGAAGGAAUUGGUAAUUCGCCUGGAAAAAAGCAGAAACACUCGUUAUUAAACAAUUUCUUACAAAAAAAUGAUUUUAUAAUGAAUUUUCAUUUUAUAAUUUUUUUCUUAUCUAAUUUUCAGAAGCAUAAUGAUAUAUAAAUGAAUUGGUAAUUUGCCUGGAAAAAAAUCAGAAACACUCACUNUUAAACAAUUUCUUACAAAAAAAUGAUUUUAUAAUGAGUUUUCAUUUUAUAAUUUUGUCUUAUCUAAUUUUAUCUAAUUUUCACAAGCAUAAUGACAUUAGAAGGAAUUGGUAAUUAGCCUGAAGGUUUUGUUAAGAGAUGAUGAUUCAACAUCUGCAGAUGAUGAAAUUAGAGAGGUUAGUGAAGAUGAUGAAAUUGAAGAGAUCUUGAGUGAAUCUUUGUUGGAAGACAAAUAUGCCAAUGACUCAACUCUUUACAAAGAUAAAUUGUUUAACGACAAAUAUUUCUAAUUUUCUUUUUGUUGGAUCUACCAUAGGAUGAUAUAUAAAAUGUUGGGAUGAGAGAGAUGAAAGAGAAAUGGUUGAGAGGAAUAAAGGAGAUGAAUAAGGGUUUGGGGGUUUCUUUUUUUAGUUUUGAGAAUGAAAAUUAUUUAAAUAUCCUUGACUUUAAAACUUAGAAUAGAUAAUAUAUGAGGGUAUUUUUGUCUACUAUAAUCCGGUACACAUUGUUAAAAUGUACCAACUGAAGAACCGGCGUACGCGCGUUAACAAAUCCCUAUAUAUAUAUAUAUAUAAUUUAUGUCCUUGUUUGGAUUUGUUCCUAAUAAUACUUAUAGUAAUAAUAGCAACAAUAAUAAUGAUAUAAAUGAUAAUAAUAAUAUUAAAAAAUAACAUUUGAAUAUAAAUUUGUUUAUUUUAAAUUAUAAGAUAUGUAGAUAUAUUGUGCAAUAUAAUUUUAUACAAAAUAAACGCAACACAAAAUUGAAAUUUUUAAAUAAAAACAUAUGUAGAUAUAAACAACUUAUUAGUUAAGCUUAAAUUAAAAAAUAAGAACAUUUAAUCAUAACUAAUUAAGUUUUAUCAUAUACUCAAGACAAAUAGAAAAAAAAUAUAUUUAUUUAUAAGAAUAUUUCUUUUACUCUUUUCUACACUUUAAAUGUGUUUUUAGUUUACGUCUCGUCCAUAUGAUGAGUUAGAAAAUUAAGCACAUUAAUAACAUAAAAAGAAAAAAGAUGGAAGUAGUCGAACCCAUUUAAUGAGUUAUGAAAUUAGCACAUGGUGAGAAGGAAACGCAGAAAAUGAAAGCAAAAGACUUUUAAAGUCCUAUCUAUCAGAAAUCGAGUUGUUGAUUUUUCUCAUAUAAUAUACUAUAUUGAAAUUUAUAUGAAAGAAAUAAAUGAGAAUCAUGUAUUUAAACAAGUUGUUAACUUUAUUCAAUCAAAAUAACUUUAUUCAAAAUUUGAGAGACUUUGACAAUAAAAAUCCAAUUCAUUGGUUGAAUCAUUCUUUCUUAGCCAUUCACUUAACAGUCACUCACUCAAAUAUAAAAAUUAUAUUUAUUUAUAAGAAUAUUUUAUUGUCUCAUUUCUACACUUUAAAUGUGUUUUUAGUUUACAUGGAUUUCUUACUCCUCGUCCAUUUUAUGAGUUAUAAAAUUAAGCACAUUAAUAAUAUAAAAAGAAAAAAAAAUGUAAGUAGUCACUCAUAAAUCAAGUUGUUGAUUUUUCUCAUAUAAUUUAUUCUUUCUUCGCCAUUUGAUCACUUAACAACAGUCACCCAGUCAAAUAUCAUGGCCAACCGACCACAUUUAAAGUUUUUAUCUUAUGUGGUGGAAUAAUCUAAGUUGUAGAAAGAAUAAUAAAUAUACAAGUCAUUCAAGUACCUAACUUAUCAAGAUAUUUUCUUAGUAUGUAGAAAGAAUAAGUGUCAAAUGAAUGUGUGUCUAAGAAAUAAAUUCUCAUCACCCAAACAACACAACCAUUUUAACAGUGGACCCAUGUUUCUAUGUUUCAUUUUCCAUUUUCUCUAUCUUUCUCUAUUUUUUAUGUUUCUUUUCAUUGUUGUAUCUUUUGAACUUUCUGAUUGUUUAUCUUAUCCACACCAACUUACGAAGAGUUAAGCAAUCUCACAUAAAAAUAUGUUGAUACAUGAAGAAGAAAUAUAUGUCGCAAUGUGUCAGAACAAAUAUUAUGGAGGAUAGUUAAUUUUAUAAAAAGGUUGAAACAUUUUAUAUAAUCAUUUAAAUAAAAAAAUUAAAAAUAUUGAAAUUUUAAAACUUUAAGAGAGAAAUUUGAUCAUUUAAAUUUAGAAAAUUUUGAAUUAUAAUUAAAUAGUAAGAAUUUUGAACUUUUGAAAUUUUUUUAAUUAAUUUGUGUAUACAUUUUUCAUUUUUUUUUAUUACAUUAUCGUUUUGAAAUUGAGAUACUUGUACUUUAAUACAUUUUACUAAUAAUAAUGAAUAUUUCUCUCAUGUUAACAAUAGAUUGUGGUAAAUUUCCAGAUUUAUUUUGAAAUCAUUUUUUUACCAACAUUAAUGAUAUAUGUUUCCAUUGAUGUCAUUUAGAAUUUGUUAUCAAUGUCAAUAAAAUUAUUUUUUUAUGAUCUUAGUCAUAAAAUAUUUAUUAUCAUUUGGAACCCUUUCAUCACUGAAUGACCACCACAAACAUCCCGCACCACGAAACCAAAUAGAUAUGGAGACAUGAAUAUGGAGAAGAACCAAAUGCAUAUGGAGAAGAAAAUUAAGAGUUGUGAGAUAAGAAGAAACGGAUCUGGUGAGAGUUAGAGGGGUUGGGAAUGUGGAAAGAGCGAAAGUGAGACCUGGGAGAGUGGGUAGUGGUGUUGCGCUAGUGAAAAAUGGGUGAGUGAAAAUUGGUGAGUAAAAGUGGAUAGAAAUUUAGGGUUUAGAAUAAAAUAAAUAAAUAGGGUUAAAAGUUGAAAAAUGCUACUUUUGUAAUUAAAAUUUUUUUAUAAAAGGUUGGGGAGGUGGAGAGAGAAGGAGUGUGGGUGGAGGGAGCAACACCCUAUUAAUAAUAGCAAGAAUAAUAAAUGAUGAUAAUAAUAUUAAAAAAUAAUAUUUGAAUAUGAUUUUGUUUAUUUUAAAUUAUAAGAUUAAUAUAACAAUUUGUUAUUGUUGUGUAGUAAAAAUAUAUUAUUAUAUAAUUAAAAUUUAAUAUUAAACUUUAAUUUAUAUAUUAUAUUAAAAUGAAAUGUGUAUACAUGUGUCGUUAUCAAUGUAGAUAUAUUGUGCAAUAUAAUUUUAUACAAAAUAAACGCAACACAAAAUUGAAAUUUUUAAAUAAAAACAUAUGUAGAUAUAAACAACUUAUUAAUUAAGCUUAAAUACAAAAAUAAGAACAUUUAAUUAUAACUAAUUAAGUUUUAUCAUAAACUAAAGACAAAUAGAAAAAAAUUAUAUUUAUUUAUAGGAAUAUUUUUUUGACUCUUUUCUACACUCUAAAUGUGUUUUUAGUUUAGGUCUCGUCCAUAUGAUGAGUUAGAAAAUUAAGCACAUUAAUAACAUAAAAAGAAAAAAAAAGUUGAAGUAGUCCAACCCAUUUUAUGAGUGAUGAAAUUAGCUCAUGUGAUAAAUAUUUUGAUAUUUUUUAAAAAUUUUAAAAAAUAUGAAGUAACACAUGAAACAUUUUUAACAUUAUUAUUACCAUAGUAACAUAAAAGAACUUUAUUAUAUCAAAUUUUCUAAAAUAAGAAUCAAAUUGAAACAUAAAAAGAAAAAGACCAAUUUGAGAGAUCUACAAAAAUUUGGAACAAAUGACAUAAUUUAACGUAAUUCAUUUUAUACUAUACUACUAAAUCAAAUUUCAUAAAUAUGGGCAUAAUCAAGAUAUUGAGAUUUUGUUGGUACAUAUGUAUAGAAUUAUAAAUACAUUUUAUGAAAAUAUGUAAAUAUAAAGAUUUAUUUUUCAAAUAAGACUUUAAAAAUGAGUAUAUUGUGAAUUUCUAUUAUUGUUGAUAGAUAAAUUUGAGAACGACAUUACGUUGACAAAAACCAUCAAAGUAAUAGUAUAUGAAGAAGAAAGUUUUAAGACCUUUCUAUCAUUUGAUAAAAAAAAAAAAAAGUUUAGAUUAAAUCACCCAUCAUAUUAUUAAGUUUACAACUAUUUUAUGAAGUUAUAAAGCAAAGAAAUUUGUUGAAUGAUUAAUGGUCGUAUGAAAUCAAAGAGACUUUUAAAGUCCUAUCCAUUAUAUGGAUUAGAAACACCACACAUAAAUCAUAACAAUAAAAAUUUUAGAGAUCGAAUUAUUAAUUUUCCUCAUGUACUAUAACCUAUUAUACGAAAAUGUAUGAAAGAAAUAACCGAGAAUAAUGUAUUUAAACAAUUUGUUAACUUUAUUUAUCAAAAUAAUUUUUAAAAUUUACUGACUCCUUAAAUCAUUUUUAAUGUUAUUAUUUUAUUUAACUUCAUUUUUACUAAUUGACAACCAAUAAUUAUUUUUUAAAAUUAAUAUUAUAAUCUAUUUCAAAGACUCUUUAUAGAUAGUCAAAUUAACACUAAAUGUAUUAUCCCUACCUUGACUUCAACAAACCAACUCAUUGUUUGACACAGUCUUAGCCAUUCAUUUAACACUCACUUACUCUAAUAUCAUUCUUAUAGCUAAGAAGUAGGAAAGAAUAAUAAAUAUACAACUCAUUCAGAUACCUAACUUAUAAAGAUUUCUUUUUAUUUUUUUAUGCAAAUUUAAUUUACAUUAUCAAUUGUUUUAAAAAUUUAUUUGUGUAAAUUUUAUAUUUAUAAUUUUCUAAUAUUCCAAUUUUAACAUCUUACAAUUGAUAUGAAAUAAAACAUUAUAAAAUUGAUAAACAUAAAAAUUAUCUAAACAUAUAAAUACAUGAUAUUAAUACAUUUAUCUAUAAAAACAAUAACGAUAAUAAUAAAAUAUAUUUAAAGCAAAAAAAAAAUUAUUUAAUAUUAUUUUUUAAUUCCGAUGAAAAAUGUAAAAGCAAAAAAUAGUAUAAUUGAAUUUAAAGUGCUGUGAAAAUAAUAAAAUAAGAGUUGUAAUAGAAAAAUUAAAAUUCAAGUUGAUGAAAAAUGUGGAACAACAAGAAAAAAAAAAUGAACAUAAGCCUAAUAAAACUUGGAAAGUAUAAGCUGAAAUGUAACAUUCAAUGGAAACCAAAAUAAAAUGAACAUGUGAGUUAAGUUGUAAAAGCAAUCACUAAAAGUAAACAAACCUAUGAAAUCAUUUGUUAUGAUUACAAAAUUAGAACAAAAUUAGAGAUCCAAUUAUUGAUUUUCCUCAUGUAAUAACCUAUUCUACCAAAAUGUAUGAAAGAAUUAAACGAUAAUAAUCUAUUUAAACAAUUUGUUAUCUUUAUUUAUCAAAAUAACUUUUAGAAUUUACUGACUCUUUGUUUAAUGUUACUAUUUUAUUUAACUUCACUUUUACUAAACCAAUAAUUAUUUUUUAAAAUCAAUAUUAUAAUUUAUUUUAAAGACUAUAAAUAGUCAAAAGUUCACAUUAAAUGGAUAUUGUCUGUCUGUCUUAGACUUUAAAAACUAUAAAAUUAAUAUUGUCUGUCUGUCUGUUUGACACGGUCUUAGCAUUCACUUAACAGUCAAAUAUGGUUAGGCCAACCCAUCACCUUUAAAGUUUUUAUCUUAUGUGGUGGAAUAAUCUAUAAGCUAUAGGAAACAACAAUAAAUAUACAACUCAUACAAAUACCUAACUUAUAAAGAUUUUUAUUUUAUGAAAAUUUUAUUUUCAUUAUCAAUUAUUUUACAAAUUUAUUUAUAUAAAACAAAUGUGUAAAUUUUAUAUUUGUGAUUUUUUAAUAUCUCGAUUUUCAUAACUUAUAACUUAUCAAAUAAGACAUUAUAAAAUUAAUAAACAAAAUAAAUUGUCACAACAUAUAAAUAUAUAAUAUUAAUAUAAUUAUCUAUAAAAAUAACAGCCAUAAUAAUACAAUAUAUUUAAAUCAAUUAAGAAAAACUGCUAGACGAAAAGGAAGAAUAUUUUGCCAUAUCAGUGUUUUCGACGAGAGAUGUUUCAAUGCUUGCACUUCAUCCGUUAACACAAUAAGGUAAUCAUUCCAAAAUAAACAAACGAAUAACAAACACAAAAAAAAAAAAAAAAACUGAGUAUUUUAAUAUACAAAAGAAUUUUCAUAAAUAAGUAAAUCAUCUAGAUACACAUAAGAUAAGCUAGGUGAAAAUAUAAUUAAUAGUACCAAAACACCUAAUAACAUGUUAAAGAUCAUUACAUAACUUUUACACAUUCAUAUAUGAAAUCGGACUUCUCUAAACUCAAUUUAUUUAGCUUCCUACACUUGAGUCAGUGAUGAGAAUGAAACAGAUCUCUGUAUUCGAGGACAGAGAGCCUCCUGAAGAGAGAAAGGAAGGAGAAAAUAUUUUCUUACUUGUCUUCAAAACAGAAUUUACAAAUCAUAUAUAACCACCUCGUGCUACAAUAUUCCCUAGUAACAAACAUGCCAACGCAAUGUUUCUAGAAGUUUACUGACAUAAUAUUCAAUAGUGAAUAAAAUCCUCCCAACCUAUGGGUUUGUGAGUCACACGUUUGGGCCUCUCCCUAUUAAUAAUAGUGCUUGGAGGGGUUACUGCAACAAUACCCUCCCCAUGAGAUUCAACCUUGUCCUCAAGGUUGUACAAAGAUUUCAGAUCAUCCCAAUUUUCCCAAGAUGUGUCGUCAGGGGAUAGACCAAGCCACUGAACCAACGCCAAGAUGGCUUGUUAUUAACGUCCUCAAUUUUGAAGUCAAGGAUAGCUAGUGGAGUGAUGAGGGGGUGACUGUCAAUGAAGUUAGGUGGAAGAUGAUCAACCUCAACCGGUGGAGGACCAACAUGGGGCUUCAGACGAGAACAGUGAAAGACAUCAUGUAUUUUGGCAUAUGAAGGGAGCUCUAAUUUAUAGGCUACAGGGCCAAUGCGCAUCAAAACCUUGUUUGGACCAUAAUAUCGUUUGGCUAACUUAUGGUACUUGGAACCUGAGAGGGAAAUCUGUUUGUGGGGUUGUAACUUGACAUACACCCAAGAACCCACUUCAUAGAUCACGUCUCUGCGGUGUUUAUCAACAUACUCUUUCAUGCGAUUUUGUGCCUUGAGUAAUUUCUAUUGCAGUAGCCGAAGGACAGCCUCACGAGACGACAAUGUUUCAUCUAUGGCGGCAAUUGAUGAUGACCCAACAAUAUAAGAAGGCAAGGAGGGAAGAGGCUUCCCGUGAAGAACCUGAUAUGGGGAAAGGCCAGAACGAGAAUGAACUGAGGUGUUAUAGUGGUACUCUGCCUAGGGUAGAAAUUUGUACCAAAGAGAAGGUUUGUGAAAAAUGAAAACCCUCAAAUAUUGCUCAAUAGUCUGAUUCAUCACCUUCGUUUGUCCAUCGGUUUGGGGAUGGUAGGAAGAACUCAUGCGGAGUUUAGUGCCACUAAGUUUGAAUAAAUUUAUCCAAAAUCUGCUAAGAAAGAUGGGGUCCCGAUCAGACACAAUACUCUUUGGAAUGCCAUGAAGCUUGCAAACCAUAGAAACAAAUAAAUCAGCCACCUUAUAAGUAGUGAAAUGGGUAGGUAAGGCACCCAAAUGAAUCCCUUUAGAAAAACGAUCUACAACCACCAGAAUCACAGUGUAUCCAAAUGAAGGAGGGAGACAAGUAAUGAAAUCCAUAGACACAUCUUCCCACACAUUAGACGGAACUGGAAGAGGAGUCAAAAGCCUUGCUGGUUUCAUCGCUUGGUACUUUGUUUGUUGGCAAACUGUACACUGUGAUACAUAGUCACGAACAUCCUUCUUCAUUGAGUCCCAAUGAAAAUUGGCACUAAGACGUUGCAAGGUCUUUGUGACACCAGCAUGUCCCCCUGUAUUGGUGUCACGAAACUCUCAGAGUAUUGCUGCCUUAUAACGAGAAUGUGGAGGAAGCCAGAUUCUUCCCUGAUACAAUAGAAACCCAUCCACUUUCUUGUACUCAGUAUGGGAAGAAGGGUUGGUGUCAUAUUUUUCCAACAGUGCAUUGUAAGAUGAAUCACCCUGAAGCUCUUUCUUCAAUUCGUCCAAGAAAACAAACUGCGGAACCGUUAAUAUUAAACAAGAGGCCGACGUGGGAGAUUGUGAUCGAGAUAAUGCAUCGGCCACAACAUUAGUGUUUCCCGGUUUGUAUUGAAUUUGGUAAUCAUAUCCAAGCAACUUGGACAAAUAAUGUUGCUGAUCAGGGGUUUGGAUUACUUGUGACAUUAAUUCCUUCAUACUCUUUUGGUUGGUUUGGAUUACAAAAAAAUGGCCAAGGAGGUAUUGUCGCCACCGCUUGACUGCACUGGUAAUAGCAUGAAGUUCCCUAAAAUAUGCAGAAGCACGAGCCAUCCGAGGACAAAAUAUCUUACUAAAAUAAGCGACGGGGUGGCCGCUCUGUAAAAGUACUACACCCAUAGCCAUGCCAGACGCAUCGGUUUGGAGAAGAAAGGGUUCAGAAAAGUUUGGCAAUAUUAGAACUAGAGUUGCUGUCAAUGCCUUCUUCAAUUCAUCAAAUGCAUCUUGUGCUGCCUGUGACCAAUGAAAAUUAUCCUUCUUAAGCAACUCGGUAAGAGGGUGACCAAGGGAAGCAUAACCCUUCACAAACUUUCGAUAAAACCCAAUUAAGCCAAGAAAUCCACGAAGCCCUUUAACGAAUGUAGGAACUGGCCAAUCAAUAACAGCUGCAAUCUUCAAGGGAUCAGGUGAUACUCCGCCAUCAGAGACAAUAUGACCCAAAUAAGCAAUUUGAGGUCUGCCAAACUCGCAGUUCUGAGGUUUCAAAAAAAACUUGUGCUCUGAUAAUAUAGAGAAAACUUGUUAUAGAUGGGCAACAUGAUCAGAUAAAGAGGCACUAUAAACCAAUAUAUCGUCGAAUAAAACAAUCACAAAUCGACGUAACCACGGGCGGAAAAUGUCAUUCAUGGUGGACUGGAACGUGGAAGGAGCGUUACAUAACCCGAAAGGCAUUACACAAUAUUCGUAGUGACCAUCGUGAGUGCGAAAGGAUGUUUUGUGAGUGCCCUUAGGGUUUAUGCGGAUCUGGCGAAACCCGGAAGUCAGAUCAAGCUUGGAAAAACACCGAGCAUGACCCAAUUUAUCAAUAAGUUCAUCCACCGUAGGCAGCGGGAAGCGAUCCUUGACAAUGAUGGCACUGAGGGCUCGGUAAUCAACACACAUACGCCAAGAGCCAUCUUUCUUUUUUAGUAACAAGACCGGAGAAGAGAAUGGACUAACACGUGGUUGUAUCCACCCAUUGGCUAACAGCUUAGAGACUUGAGCUUCAAUCUAAAUUUUCUGGGAUUGGGGAUAACGGUAUGGUCGACCAUUGACCGGAGCAGAGUUUGGGAGUAAGGGAAUAUUGUGAUCAGAAAACCUUUUUGGAGGGAGAGAAGAAGGUUCAGUAAAAAGGAAAUGGUAUUUGUGUAGGAGAAGUUGUAGUGGAAUGUGUUCAUGUCAGAGGGUAGGGAGGGGUAAAGGUGUGUCAGGUUGUCGUGUGACUCUAAGAGAGAAGAAUUACGCUGUAGGGUUUGAAUGAAUGACACGUUUUAAUUGGUGAAAAGAGAUGGGUUCAAGAGGGGAAGUAGUCUGGCCCUCUAACACAAUAAGACCAUUAGGAUGAUUAAACUGCAUUGUCAGGUUUUGGUAAUCCAUGAGAAUUGGACCGAGUUGUUUCAGCCAUUGGGCCCCUAAAACAAUAUCAGACCCAGUCAUUCCCAAUAUGUAUAAGUCCACCUUAAAAUUAUGCCUUUGUAUCAUCAAUUCCACCCCUGUACAUACUUCAGUGCAUGGUAGAACAUCACCGCUUCCCACCAUAACUUUCAAAACUAAAACUGGGCUGUGAGAUAAGCCCAAAAAGUUAGCCACUGCUUCUUGGAUGAAAUUAUGAGUACUGCCUCCAUCAACCAAAACUGUUACUUGAAAUUGGCCAAUCUGACCAGAAACUCGUAGCGUUUCGGGAGCCCCAAAGCCCGACAAGGCAUUCAAACUCAGCUGGGCCUGAUGCGGAUCAUCAAUGAUAACCGGUGAUACAGGAUCUGGGGGGUUGGGUUCCAUAAUUGAAGCAUGUAAAGACGAUUCGCCAGAGUCAUCAUCCUCUUCAGUAACCAACAACAUGUAACGUGCAAGACAACGAUGAUUGUGUAAGAAUUUUUUGUCACAAUUGAAACACAACCCACGCUCUCUUUGAUCAACCAUCUCUGCCUCAGUUAAUUGCUUAAAACGUGUGCACGGAGGGGAAGCAGGUAAGAGAGGUGGCAACUGUUUCAGAGGAACUGAAGGUACCAGAGGAGUAGUGGGCGACCGGGUCAGCAACGACAACGGUCCGUUUCGAGGGGAGUCGACGUCUAGGAAGCUGAACCAAUUGACGUUUGAUUUCCUGUCAGGGAUGUUCACGACAGUUGUGAUGGGGCGCCAACGUCUAUGAUAACGUAGACGUCGGUGCCCUUCUAGCCGAUGUCUAAGGCCCUCAAGUUUGGUGAACAUAAUUAAUUACAAGCACAUAGACGUCGCUUCCCCGCAACACCAACGUCUAAAUUGAAGAAUGUUUUGUCUUCCUGCCUUCCAAACAGGCCUUAGACGUCGCCUUUUGACUACGUGACAUCUAAGCGCCUGGGAAUUAAGUGAAGAGCAUUAAUUGCAACCCAAUAGACAUCGGCCCCCGUUAACACUGACGUCACUGGACUGCCUUCUCACCUACCUCAGGCCAUUAGAUGUCGGUUUAUGCCAGUGGGGACGUCUACAAUAUCAUAGAUGUCGCCUUACCUUUAAACCAACGUCUAGUUUACCAAGCUAUUUACAAUAAUGCCACCGUCCACUCAUAUACGUCGGAUUACCUGCAAACCGACGUCUUCUGGGUGACGUUAAACAACGUUUUUGCACUAGUAGUGAAUCAUAUCAUAUCCAAAUAAAUAAAUAAAAGCAAAGUAGUGGAAAGACUUAGGUAAUAAAGUUGGUCUUUCAUAGUAAUCCAUGGGUUAGAAAAUUAAUCACACUAAUUGCAUAAAUUAUUAAUUAACUUUUGCUCUUCUGUGCUUUCUAUGGGUUAGAAAAUUUGGUCAAGAAAAGGGAAAAAAAAGUAGGUUUGGUACAAACACUUUUAAGUUGUUCAUUUCUUUAGUAAUUUAUAUAUAGGUUAGAAAAUUAAAGAUAGAGACGGUAGAUUUAUGGUCUGUCGUAAUUUUGCAAUGUUUGAUUUUGUUGUCUAUUGGUAGUAAUUUUGUUGUCUUAAUUAAAUUUGAAUUAUUUUAUAAAUUUAAUUAAUGUUAAAGUUAAUUGAAUUUUUAUGAAAUAAAUUAUUUAAUUAAGUGUUAAAUUUUGCUUUAUCUUAUUUAAAGAUUUUGUUUUCAUUUUCUAGCUAACUAAUUUUAAAUCUGUGCCGGCCUACGAGUUGAUGUAGGUUGUGUAUUUAUUAAAAGAGAAUUUGAGAUGAAAAAAGAGAUAAUUAUUAUUUUUUAAGUUUAUAAUUAAAUUUUGAAUAGAAUUAAUCGUAAAAAUAAUUUAUAAAUUUAGAAAGAUAUGUUUAUGAAAAUAUAAAUAGUAGAUUUUGUAAAACAACUCAACAUACUAUUUUUCAAAAUGUCUAUCUUUUUCUUUCCAAAUUUUAGAAAUUAAUUUAUAUAUUAGCCUAUAAAAAUAAGAAGGAAUUAACAUAAAAAUAAAUAGAAAUUAUGGAAAUGGGAGAUUAAUUUUAUUGGAUUUUAUUUAAUGGUUAGUAUUUGACUUUUAAAUCAACUAAGAAUAACCACAAAAAACCUUCAAUUAUUAGAAUGCACAAUGUUGUGUGGAGAAUUUGUUUAGUGUGAAAUUAACAUGUUUUUUUUAUUAAAUUGCAACACCUUUGCAAAAAUAUAAGAAUUAUGUGGAGUCGAGUUGUAGGAUUGAGGCUGACGCUGAAAGGCGAUUUAGAAGAAGUAAAAAAUGGUAUGCAUAGUUGAAUUAAAGCAGCAAACAUGGUGCUGAAGCUAAGGAGAAAACCAUCUCAUGAAGAAAACUUCAAAGAUUGGAUCUAUAGAAUAAGUUUCAUAAAGAAAGGUUGCAGUUAGAGGAAACCCUCUUAGAAAGGAAAUAUCAAGAGAUCAUGAGAGCAAGAAGCUUCAGUCACAAGAAAACCUUGCAUAGGAGGAAAUCUCGCUAAAGUAGUAUUGAGAAUAUCACUCUAUUUUUGGCAGCUUCUUCUUUAGAAUCUUUUCUUAGGAUUUCUCUCUAAACUUAUUGUAAUAUCUUAGGAAAGUAUGAAAUGCAGACAAAUAUUCCAUGUCUUGCUAGAAAGGUCAUCAACAUGAGUAGUUAAACUCUCUUGUAUGUAAUAUUUUUUUAUUUGGGUUGUGCUUUUAUGUUUGGAUGAUCACGCAUUUAAUUUCAGAUGACAACACAAACUAACAUAUUUUAUCCAGCAUCUGCUUACUUUCCAGUACUACUUUUCUUUACUCUGCCUCUUCCAUGAAUCACUUCUCUUUUAUAAGCUUUUAUUUAUAGCAUUCAACAUUUACCUUUUACCUUUGAAAACUGAAACUACCAAAAUACCAAUCAAUGACCAAAA
rnacentral:lncRNA from 1 species